rnacentral:rRNA from 1 species
GACGAACGCUGGCGGCGUGCUUAACACAUGCAAGUCGAACGGAAAGGCCCUGCUUUUGUGGGGUGCUCGAGUGGCGAACGGGUGAGUAACACGUGAGUAUCCUGCCCUUGACUUUGGGAUAACUUCAGGAAACUGGGGCUAAUACCGGAUAGGAGCUCCUGCUGCCUGUUGGGGGUUGGAAAGUUUCGGCGGUUGGGGAUGGACUCGCGGCUUAUCAGCUUGUUGGUGGGGUAGUGGCUUACCAAGGCUUUGACGGGUAGCCGGCCUGAGAGGGUGACCGGCCACAUUGGGACUGAGAUACGGACCAGACUCCUACGGGAGGCAGCAGUGGGGAAUAUUGCACAAUGGGGGGAAGCCUGAUGCAGCAACGCCGCGUGCGGGAUGACGGCCUUCGGGUUGUAAACCGCUUUGGACGGUGACGAAGCGUGAGUGACGGUAAUGGGUAAAGAAGCACCGGCUAACUACGUG